AUGAAAUCUGCGCAGGACCAAAGAUGCCAUUCAUUCCGUUAAAAUCAAUGGGAAUUUUGUUGCUACUCUGACAAGUGGGUGGAUUGUUCUCCAGAGAGAGACAGGACUUACUUAUGGCAACAGUUUUUUUUUCCCAGAAGCAUCUCUUGCUUCAUGAAACACUUGGAGUCGUUAGAUACAGUAUUCUCCUAAGUAUUUUCCCAAGCGAUUUUGUCUUGGGGACAAGUGAUGGUGGGGAGGAAGGUCCCCUAAAUAUUUAUUUAAAGAGAGGGUUCAUAUUUUACAGAGCUGAGGAUGAGAAUAAAGCGCUCCUCUGCCCUCCUGUUGUGUUAGAGUACGUAUUCCAUGCUUCCCAACUCAACUCCAGCGGCUAUACUGUCUGGGGAAUGAUGGGAAUUACAGAUCUGCAGGGAAAUGGCUGAAAGCAGGUGGAGGCCGGACCAAGGAUGAAUGAAAUAUUCUGGUUUGUAAUGUAUUUUGGAGCCGCUUCCUUUUUUCAUGAAAUUUUGUGAUAUAUUCCAUGAUAUUUUUAUGAUUUUGUGAAAGUUAAUUGAAGCCCUUAUUCCUCUCAGGGAUAGGCAACUUAGUUUCCUCCACAUGCUUUAGAAUUCACUUAUCCCUGCCAUUGUCUGUGCUGAUUGGGGCAGAUGGGAGUUGAAAUCCACAACAUUGAGAAGGUACAAUACAACCCAUCUCUGCUCCUGUUUCUUCCUCUUGUAUGAACAUUAUUAUUAGUUGCCUUGGGAAAAUAUUUGAUAACUUAUUUUACCAGUUUGCUUUCAGUAUAUUCUUUAGACAUUUCUAUAAACUGCCUUCUUUAAUAAAAGUUAUAAAAUUGAUCCCCAGGACCUGAUUUCCUAAAUUAUAAUUUUGAAUUUCAUAAUCUGAUAGCAAUUAUCCAAAACAGUGUUCUUCUGCAUUACAAUUAAAACUCUACUAUUAAAAAUAUUGAGCAUAUUAAACAUUAAUACCAGGAUUGUGUAGUAGCACUAAGGGUUUGAUGGCCAAAAAAAAAAAAAAGGCUAUGGGAGUAUGCAGGGAUGCUUGCACCACAUCUGAAGGGAAUUCCUAAAACCAAGUAUAUUUUUCCCCAGGAUUUCACUGCAGCUGUGGAGAACAGCUGCAUGAUCCUGGGAAAAGAGACUACCCAAUGGCUGCACAUUCAUUGACAAUCUGUUCUAUCUAAUAUUGAUAGUUUAAAUCUGUUAAUUAAGCCAGUUGGUCAGAAAACAGUUUCGAUUACCACCUUGUCCUUGUAUCAGAUCUGUAGAUCCUCUGAAUGGAACUCCACUUACUAAGAGGUGAUUAUUGUCAAUUCUCACUGCAGCCUUUCUUCCCCUGAAAAUCUGCUCCAUCUCCAGAGAACUGAGGACCAUCUAGUCUAGCAAGGGUGGUGCAACAACUGCAAGAAGUGGUAAAAAUUCAAGACCUUUCCC